CCUACGGGAGGCUGCAGUGAGGAAUAUUGGUCAAUGGGCGAUAGCCUGAACCAGCCAAGUAGCGUGAAGGAUGAAUGCCCUAUGGGUUGUAAACUUCUUUUAUCUGGGAAUAAAGUGCAGUAUGUAUACUGCUUUGCAUGUACCUUGUGAAUAAGGCUCGGCUAACUUCGUGCCAGCAGCCGCGGUAAUACGGAGGAUACGAGCGUUAUUCGGAUUUAUUGGGUUUAAAGGGAGCGUAGGCGGGUUGUUAAGUCAGUUGUGAAAGUUUGCGGCUUAACCGUAAAAUUGCAGUUGAUACUGGCAAACUUGAGUACGGUAGAGGUAGGCGGAAUUCGUGGUGUAGCGGUGAAAUGCUUAGAUAUCACGAAGAACUCCGAUUGCGAAGGCAGCCUGCUGGACUGUAACUGACGCUGAGGCUCGAAAGUGUGGGUAGCAAACAGGAUUAGAUACCCGGGUAGUC
rnacentral:rRNA from 1 species